rnacentral:lncRNA from 1 species
UAAGCAGCCGUUUCUUUCAAUGAACCGCAUUGGGGUAAAAUUCCUUCAUCAACUAGGUUGUUCAAUUUCCUCCUUUUUGAAUGGAGACCUGCCAGUUCUUGUUCAAGGCCUCAACGAUUAUAGACCAUCUCUGAAUCUCUCCUGGAUACUCAACCUGUUGAUAGAAGAUCCCAAGUGUUACCACACACUGGCAUACUGAACACCCCUCUGGUCCUGACCCUGUUCUCCAACAGUGAGAGUGUAGAGGAGCAGUUAACCCUGCCUCAGACUGCUGGUCUCCCUCUCCUCUCCUCUCAGACCCAACGUGACCUCAUCCAGAGGCUGCCCUCCUACUGCAACAUGCUCCACAAACACCACAUAGGAUCCAGCCAAGUGCUGCUUGUGACACGGCUCCUCUUCAAGCUGAGAACAAAGAUCUGCUGGAGUCUCUCCUCAACUGCAGGGUAGAAGCAUGGUUUGUGUCAGUGCUGCAUCCCUCCAGCCCCAGAGACAGUCUCCUCCACUGGCUGGGCCUGCUGUCUAACCAGAGCUGCAGGCAGCCACCAAGGGGAGCUCUGGGGCAGCAGUACAAUGAGGCCUCCCUGCAUGCCCUGCUCUACUCCUGGCCCACCC